rnacentral:rRNA from 1 species
GACGAACGCUGGCGGCGUGCUUAACACAUGCAAGUCGAACGGAAAGGCCCUGCUUUUGUGGGGUGCUCGAGUGGCGAACGGGUGAGUAACACGUGAGUAACCUGCCCUUGACUUUGGGAUAACUUCAGGAAACUGGGGCUAAUACCGGAUAGGGGCUCCUGCUGCAUGGUGGGGGUUGGAAAGUUUCGGCGGUUGGGGAUGGACUCGCGGCUUAUCAGCUUGUUGGUGGGGUAGUGGCUUACCAAGGCUUUGACGGGUAGCCGGCCUGAGAGGGUGACCGGCCACAUUGGGACUGAGAUACGGCCCAGACUCCUACGGGAGGCAGCAGUGGGGAAUAUUGCACAAUGGGCGGAAGCCUGAUGCAGCAACCCCGCGUGCGGGAUGACGGCCUUCGGGUUGUAAACCGCUUUCGCCUGUGACGAAGCGUGAGUGACGGUAAUGGGUGAAGAAGCACCGGCUAACUACGUG